AUAAUCUAAAGUUUAAACGGAAGUAUAAACCUGAAAAAUGUCUCAUGCUCUUUUGUUUUGUCAGGCAGCGUUUGUAAGUGGAAAUGUCAAGCCUGUCAGCAGCCAGUGUGGAGGCUUCACCAGCAAUAGAGGAAGCAGUGCAGAAGAAACCUCUCAAACCAUGCUGUGCGUGUCCUGACACCAAAAAAGCACGAGAUGCAUGCAUAAUUGAAAAGGGAGAAGAAAGCUGCACAGGCCUCAUCGAAGCGCACAAGGAGUGCAUGAGGGCACUUGGUUUUAAGAUAUAAUACUACCAUCAUCAUCAUCAGAUUGAGUGAAUGCUUGUCAGGCCCUGAUCCUCAUGUUGUUGUAUGAAACAGAGCAGCUCAGAUAUUCUGCUAAAACUCUGCAUUGCGAAUGACAACCUGUGUGAAAUGGGACCCGGUGUGAUCAUUUAUUUAUAUUUCUACACUGCAGAGAAGAUUAUGCAGGACUGCAUUUAUUCCUCUAAGGGAAAUGUCUGUCUUUUCUGUCUCUUUCUUUCAUAUACGAUUUGUGUACAUUUAUGGUCAAUAAAGAUCCUAUGCAAGACGUUAA